UCCUCCCUCAAACCUCGUGUUUGGUGUUGGACCGCGUUGGUCGAGCGACCAACUGGUCUCAAAGAUAAUGACGGCGUCCGUGGGACCCUCGGUGCAACGAGCUUUUAACGAGCACGCGUCGAGUUUCAAGGACCCUCCGGGCCGGUCUAGACCUCUAUAUUUUUCUCA
rnacentral:misc_RNA from 1 species